rnacentral:rRNA from 1 species
GAUGAACGCUGGCGGCGUGCCUAAUACAUGCAAGUCGAGCGAAUGGAUUAAGAGCUUGCUCUUAUGAAGUUAGCGGCGGACGGGUGAGUAACACGUGGGUAACCUGCCCAUAAGACUGGGAUAACUCCGGGAAACCGGGGCUAAUACCGGAUAACAUUUUGAACCGCAUGGUUCGAAAUUGAAAGGCGGCUUCGGCUGUCACUUAUGGAUGGACCCGCGUCGCAUUAGCUAGUUGGUGAGGUAACGGCUCACCAAGGCAACGAUGCGUAGCCGACAUGGGAGGGCGAUGGGCCACACUGGGACUGAGACACGGCCCAGACUCCCACGGGAGGCAGCAGUAGGGAAUCUUCCGCAAUGGACGAAAGUCUGACGGAGCAACGCCGCGUGAGUGAUGAAGGCUUUCGGGUCGUAAAACUCUGUUGUUAGGGAAGAACAAGUGCUAGUUGAAUAAGCUGGCACCUUGACGGUACCUAACCAGAAAGCCACGGCUAACUACGUGCCAGCCGCCGCAGUAA